GACGAACGCUGGCGGCGUGCUUAACACAUGCAAGUCGAACGGAAAGGCCCUGCUUUUGUGGGGUGCUCGAGUGGCGAACGGGUGAGUAACACGUGAGUAACCUGCCCUUGACUUUGGGAUAACUUCAGGAAACUGGGGCUAAUACCGGAUAGGAGCUCCUGCUGCAUGGUGGGGGUUGGAAAGUUUCGGCGGUUGGGGAUGGACUCGCGGCUUAUCAGCUUGUUGGUGGGGUAGUGGCUUACCAAGGCUUUGACGGGUAGCCGGCCUGAGAGGGUGACCGGCAACAUUGGGACUGAGAUACGGCACAGAGUCCUACGGGAGGCAGCAGUGGGGAAUAUUGCACAAUGGGCGGAAGCCGGAUGCAGCAACGCCGCGUGCGGGAUGACGGCCUUCGGGUUGUAAAACGCUUUCGCCUGUGACGAAGCGUGAGUGACGGUAAUGGGUAAAGAAGCACCGGCUAACUACGUG
rnacentral:rRNA from 1 species